GAUGAACGCUGGCGGCGUGCCUAAUACAUGCAAGUCGAACGAGGAAGUACCUUCGGGUAUUGUACUAGUGGCGCACGGGAGAGGAACACGUGGGUAAUCUACCUUAAGGAGAGGAACAACCAGUCGAAAGAUUGGCUAAUACCUCAUAUGACCACAGUGACUUAUGUCACAGCGGUAAAAGAUUUAUCGCCUUAAGAUGAGCAUGCGUCCCAUUAGCUAGGUGGUGAGGUAAUGGCUCACCAAGGCGACGAUGGGUAGCUGGUCUGAGAGGAUGAUCAGCCUCACUGGAACUGAGACACGGUCCAGACUCCUACGGGAGGCAGCAGUAGGGAAUAUUGCACAAUGGGCGCAAGCCUGAUGCAGCGACGCCGCGUGAGUGAUGAAGGUCUUCGGAUUGUAAAGCUCCGUUGUUAGGGAAUAAGAAAGUGAAUGUACCUGACGAGAAAGCACCGGCUAACUUCGUGCCAGCAGCCGCGGUAA
rnacentral:rRNA from 1 species